ACAGCAGUCGCCGCGGGAAUACGUAGGGUGCAAGCGUUAAUCGGAAUUACUGGGCGUAAAGCGCGCGUAGGUGGUUUGUUAAGUUGGAUGUGAAAGCCCCGGGCUCAACCUGGGAACUGCAUCCAAAACUGGCAAGCUAGAGUACGGUAGAGGGUGGUGGAAUUUCCUGUGUAGCGGUGAAAUGCGUAGAUAUAGGAAGGAACACCAGUGGCGAAGGCGACCACCUGGACUGAUACUGACACUGAGGUGCGAAAGCGUGGGGAGCAAACAGGAUUAGAUACCCCCGUAGUCCCUGUCUCUUAUAC
rnacentral:rRNA from 1 species